rnacentral:rRNA from 1 species
UACCAUGCUAGAGUAUUGGAGGGGUAACUGGAAUUCUCGGUGUAGCAGUGAAAUGCGUGGAUAUCGAGAGGAACACUCGUGGCGAAAGCGAGUUACUGGACAAUUACUGACGCUGAGGCUCGAAGGCUAGGGGAGCAAAAGGGAUUAGAUACCCCUGUAGUCCUAGCAGUAAACGGUGCACGCUUGGUUUGAGGGGAAUCGACCCCCUUCGAGCCGGAGCUAACGCGUUAAGCGUGCCGCCUGGGAAGUACGGUCGCAAGACUAAAACUCAAAGAAAUUGACGGGGACCCGCACAAGCGGUGGAGUAUGUGGCUUAAUUCGAUGCAACGCGAAGAACCUUACCUAGGCUUGACAUGCAUUUCUAAAUACGUGAAAGCGUAUGACUCUUCGGAGGACUUGCACAGGUGCUGCAUGGCCGUCGUCAGCUCGUGUCGUGAGAUGUUGGGUUAAGUCCCGCAACGAGCGCAACCCCUGUGAUUAGUUACCAGCGCGUUAUGGCGGGGACUCUAAUCAGACUGCCCAGAUCAACUGGGAGGAAGGUGGGGACGACGUCAGGUCAGUAUGGCCCUUACGCCUAGGGCUGCACACGUACUACAAUGCCCAGUACAAUGAGAACCGAGACCGCGAGGUGGAGGAAAUCUACAAAACUGGGCUCAGUUCGGAUUGGAGGCUGCAACUCGCCUCCAUGAAGCUGGAAUCGCUAGUAAUGGCACAUCAGCUACGGUGCCGUGAAUACGUUCCCGGGUCUUGUACACACCGCCCGUCACAUCAUGGAAGUCGGUCGCACCCGAAGUGCCUGCGCCAACCGUAAGGAGGCAGGGCCCUAAGGUGUAGCUGGUAACUGGGAUGAAGUCGUAACAAGGUAACC